CAGGCUUUCAGGAGGCUCUGUGGGGGCCCUGCUUUCCUCACACUGAGCAAGUGCCCAUCACCGCCUGUCAGGAGCACUGCCCUGGAGAACCAGGAGCCUUCCCACCAGGAGCAAUCUUUCAGCAGGAAACAUUUGGGCACGUUUUUUGUGCCCUUCAGGUGUGCUCAGCAUAUUCUGGAAUUAGAAGAAUUCCUUCUGGGCAGGAAGGCUGCCCCUCAAGGACACCCAUCUCUGUUUAUCUCCUGAGUUCCUGCAGAAGCUGGAAUUGUCUCCAUCAGCAGGCACCUCUCGUGGUUUGGGGAAGCUCCGU